UGUUGUAGCAUGUAUCAAGAUGAAACCUUCUACUCCCCCUCUCUGGAGAGAACGGAACACUUCUGUGCUGAGAAGCCCUGAGAGUUUCUUGAUUCUUAAGGCAGAACCAUUCCUGUGGUAGUUGCCUCCGCACUACCUUAUUUAAAACUGACAAUAGCCCAUCAAGGUAAUUAUCACAGGCCUGUUCUCAGGCAAGGAAACUGAGACCUAGAGUCAUUACAGAGAAUAGCUAAGGCCCCAUGACUGCAGGAGGCAGGAGCAGGAUUUGACUUUAAGUUCAAGCUCUUGAUCAUGAAAUCAAACCACCUCUGAAGAAGAAAACGAAAAACAUUUAAAAUUUUAUAAAAUUCCAGUGGCUCAGCAACAUCACACUCCCUAGUGAUAACUUGACACAUAGUAGGUUUACAACAAAUGCCGAUAUUUUUUCCUUCAUGUAGAAGGUGAAUGGGGAAUUCCAGGGGCC
rnacentral:lncRNA from 1 species